GUGGGGAAUUUUGGACAAUGGGCGCAAGCCUGAUCCAGCAAUGCCGCGUGUGUGAAGAAGGCCUUCGGGUUGUAAAGCACUUUUGUCCGGAAAGAAAUGGCCUGGGUUAAUACCCCGGGUCGAUGACGGUACCGGAAGAAUAAGCACCGGCUAACUACGUGCCAGCAGCCGCGGUAAUACGUAGGGUGCGAGCGUUAAUCGGAAUUACUGGGCGUAAAGCGUGCGCAGGCGGCGAUGCAAGACAGAUGUGAAAUCCCCGGGCUCAACCUGGGAACUGCAUUUGUGACUGCAUGGCUAGAGUGCGUCAGAGGGGGGUGGAAUUCCGCGUGUAGCAGUGAAAUGCGUAGAGAUGCGGAGGAACACCGAUGGCGAAGGCAGCCCCCUGGGAUGACACUGACGCUCAUGCACGAAAGCGUGGGGAUCGAACAGGAUUAGAAACCCCUGUAGUCC
rnacentral:rRNA from 1 species